UACGUAGGGGGCAAGCGUUAUCCGGAUUCACUGGGUGUAAAGGGAGCGUAGACGGCGACGCAAGUCUGGAGUGAAAGCCCGGGGCCCAACCCCGGGACUGCUCUGGAAACUGCGGCGCUGGAGUACGGGAGGGGCAGGCGGAAUUCCUGGUGUAGCGGUGAAAUCCGUAGAUAUCUGGAGGAACAUCAGUGGCGAAGGCGGCCACCUGGACCGGUAUUGACGCUGAGGCGCGAAAGCGUGGGGAGCAAACAGG
rnacentral:rRNA from 1 species